GAAGAGCUGACCCUCCUUGUAUAUCAAAGCCUUGUUUAUAAUUUUAUCUUUUUUUUUUUUUUGGGAGGGGGGGGUCAUAUUUUCUUUGAGUUUGACUUUUGUUUCAGUUCCUAGAUUCUAUAAAAUGUGAUGAAAAUAAAAAUGUCAUUUACAAUAAGAUUUCAAUUGUAAUUAUGUUUUUAUUAAAAAAAAAAGUUUUAAAUUAAAAAAAAUAUUCAAUGCUUAUGAAACUUUUGACCUUUGAUGAAUUUAAAAUGCCACAAAAUUUUGUGCUUUGGACUUAAUUUGUCCAUUUAUUAAAUGUUUCAACAUUCACUCCAAAAGACUUUUCAGUUCUUGAACAGAUAUUGUGUUGGAGGGUCACUAGUAGAUAUUUAGUUGUUACAAAUCCUUUUUGGUGUAAGCUUUGAUAUUUUAAGAAUAAUUCAUUUUUUAUACAGUAACUUAAAUUUUUUUUAGUUAUUUUCUAGAUAAAUGAGUUAUCAUUUCAUUUUCUGAGUGAUGAACUUAUUUGUUCUCUCCUGCAAUAUCAUUGGUUGUUCUGAACACUUCAGCGGCCAUCAAAUUUGAUUUGGGCAGUAGACUGACUGCAGAUAUGUCUUAUCAAUGGUUUGUUACUUUGAGGCUUCAAAUAAUGUCAGUGAACAUUGUUCCAGUGUUUAGUAUUUAGUGUACAGGGGCCACAAUGGACCACUCACUGUAAGUAGUCCAUUACAUCUGACAUAUAGUAUGCUCUUCUCUAAUUACUAUGUAUAUUCUAUCAACCUUUUGAGUUGUAUUAACUGUAUCUUUAUCGUGGGGUUUAAUAAAAUGCAUUCUGGGUUGGAUUGUUUUCACACCACACAGCAGCUCUUUAUUUUGUUGAACAUAAUUUCAUGCCAGGGAGAUUUGUAAGCACACUUUAGCCAUCCAGAAGUAUGCUGAUGGUUAAACCCAGGUUCCUCAUCCUGUGAACUAGGUUUCAUAAUGUAUAUUGUUCUUGGUAGAUCAACUGAAUUUCUCAUUUUGACAUGGAUGGAUUUUUUCUAACAUUUUGUACCAGGUAUUUGGCUGUUAAAGCUGACAUUCUGGGAGCAGGAUUUCAUUCAAACAUCAGGCACCAUUCUCAUGUUUUGUGCUCAAUGUAUAAAGCCCACAAGUCAUGUUCUUUUUAAUUGAUCAGUACUCUAUUUAUGAAAGUAUAAUUCUGUUUGACAGUUCCUAGUGCUUUCAAUUGACACCAUCUCUUUGUUUCGCUUGCUAGAGGUGUGUUUUCAACACCAUCUUUAAUUUAGCUAUAGAGGUUUGUUCUCUCUCACAACACUUCCUUGUUUGUGUCUCUAGAGGUGUGUCCUCACACCAUUUCCUUGUAUAUGUCUCUAGAGGUGUGUCAUCACACCAAAUAUCCUUGUAUGUGUCUCUAAACAUGUGUCCUCACACCAUUUCCUUGUUUGUGUCUCUAGAGGUGUGUCCUCACACCAUUUCAUUGUUUGUGUCUCUAGAGGUGUGUCCUCACACCAUUUCCUUGUUUGUGUCUCUAGAGGUGUGUCCUCACACCAUUUCCUUGUUUGUGUCUCUAGAAAUGUGUCCUCACACCAUUUCCUUGUUUGUGUCUUCAUAGGUGUGUCCUCACACCAUUUCCUUGUUUGUGUCUUCAGAGGUGUGUCCUCAUUUGUUUUUAUAAGUAGCUUUUUUGCUGCAGUUAAGAGUUGGACAAACCAUUGAAGCUUUAUUGUUUUCUUUUACAGAAUGUUUUGAUUCUUUUUCAAAAUGUAAGGAAAUAUUUUAGACACAUUUUUUAAAAAUUCUGUAAGAACAAACAAGUCAAAUCUAUGUCUAUCACUUGGUCUUAAGUGAAGGGCAAUGUCUAUCACUUGGUCUAAUAUUUUAUUUACGGGUACAUCAGUAAAAGAUGUGAAUUGUGUUGUCACUGAAUGAAGAGCCCCUCUCUGUUCUGUUUCUUGCUGCCAGUCUGUUCAUAUUGACAUCAACUUUUGUGUCCAACUUUUCUUUCAUACAUCAGAAAUAUUGUCAGAUUUUUUAGUUUUUUUUCAUGCAAAAAAUAAUAAAAUAAAAAGUUAAGUGCCUCUUUGUUAUUUUUUUUUUUUUUGCUGUAAAGAUAUCAACUUUUCUAAGUCAUUAAAAAAAUUGAUCUUCUUGUUUAUACAUUUGAUUUAUUGAUAUAUGUCACAUUUGUAUCAUUAAAAUGUUACAUUUAAAAAAAAAUAUUCUGUAUGCCACUUCAGACAUGUCCAAUAAGAACUCAGCUUUAAAAAUUAUAUUUUUAAUCCUUUCUACACUGUUAAAGGAAUUUAUUUAUUUUGUGUGAAAGCCACAAUAACAUUUCAAACCUCUGAUCCUUUUUGUGUUGUAAUUUUGUUUUGGUGAAUUUUUCUAAAGCUCAAUUAAUAGAGUUGCAUAGUUUAGUCAAUAUAUUUAGAUGACAUUGUUAAUGACAUAUUAAUAUUUUCACACAAAAAAAGCACUCCAGAAAUAUUUGAAGUAAGACUAUUUCAUUCCAUGUAACAUGAACAUUGAUGAGUCAGUGACUAGUGGUGUUGCUAACUCUAGAACAGUAGCAAGAGAAGGAUCUCACAUUUCUUGCCUCUUUUCAAAACAUACUGCUACCUAAAGAAACAUUUUCCAAUGAAACCACUCUCUCUUCAAAUGUUUCUAGUACUAUCCUCUUUGUAUCACUACAUGUCCUUAAGUCAAUGUUCAUCUUGCCAUUCAUGUCAUACUGUAAUCGUGUUUGUAAGUCCACCACCAGUUAAGUUGAAGUGACCAUCUGAUCAAUGAUAGUUUACUUUUCAUAAUAUAUAUAUAUAUAUAUAUAUAGCAUUGAUAUUGUGAUAGCCAUAAUCUGAGAACAGGGUUAGUUAUGAAAAUAGUUUUCAAGGGCAUUUCUGUGUCUUAUGAUUGACUGAACACCAAGUCAAAAGUUUUGCUUUUAGUGUGACACAGUAUCAUUCCAACUCUUGGCCAGUGAAACCACUCUGAUCCCUGGAGUCAGCACAAGGGCAAUAACUCAGUCAUGUGUUAAAGCAUUACUAUUUCCUUGUCCACUGUCCUAGUGUAAGUACAUGUUUAUUGGAUGUCUCCAUUAUAUACAAUUCAUGUCUGACUUGAACUACACAGUGAAUGAUAAAAUAUUUGCAAAUGUUUAUAGUGUGACAAUUUUCUUAUUAAAAAUUUCUAUGGGGACAAACUUA